GAUGAAGAACGUAGCGAAAUGCGAUAAGUAAUGUGAAUUGCAGAAUUGCAGAAUUCAGUGAAUCAUCGAGUCUUUGAACGCACAUUGCGCCCCCUGGUAUUCCGGGGGGCAUGCCUGUCCGAGCGUCAUUGCUGCCCUCAAGCACGGCUUGUGUGUUGGGCUCCGUCCCCCCGGGGACGGGCCCGAAAGGCAGCGGCGGCACCGAGUCCGGUCCUCGAGCGUAUGGGGCUUUGUCACCCGCUCUGUAGGCCCGGCCGGCGCCAGCCGACAACCCAUCAUCCUUUUCAGGUUGACCUCGGAUCAGGUAGGGAUACCCGCUGAACUUAAGCAUAUCAAUAAGCGGAGGA
rnacentral:misc_RNA from 1 species